AGAGUUUGAUCCUGGCUCAGGACGAACGCUGGCGGCGUGCCUAAUACAUGCAAGUAGAACGCUGAAGAGAGGAGCUUGCUCUUCUUGGAUGAGUUGCGAACGGGUGAGUAACGCGUAGGUAACCUGCCUUGUAGCGGGGGAUAACUAUUGGAAACGAUAGCUAAUACCGCAUAACAAUGGAUGACACAUGUCAUUUAUUUGAAAGGGGCAAUUGCUCCACUACAAGAUGGACCUGCGUUGUAUUAGCUAGUAGGUGAGGUAACCAAGGCGACGAUGCGUAGCCGACCUGAGAGGGUGAACGGCCACACUGGGACUGAGACACGGCCCAGACUCCUACGGGAGGCAGCAGUAGGGAAUCUUCGGCAAUGGGGGCAACCCUGACCGAGCAACGCCGCGUGAGUGAAGAAGGUUUUCGGAUCGUAAAGCUCUGUUGUAAGUCAAGAACGAGUGUGAGAGUGGAAAGUUCACACUGUGACGGUAGCUUACCAGAAAGGGACGGCUAACUACGUGCCAGCAGCCGCGGUAAUACGUAGGUCCCGAGCGUUGUCCGGAUUUAUUGGGCGUAAAGCGAGCGCAGGCGGUUUGAUAAGUCUGAAGUUAAAGGCUGUGGCUCAACCAUAGUUCGCUUUGGAAACUGUCAAACUUGAGUGCAGAAGGGGAGAGUGGAAUUCCAUGUGUAGCGGUGAAAUGCGUAGAUAUAUGGAGGAACACCGGUGGCGAAAGCGGCUCUCUGGUCUGUAACUGACGCUGAGGCUCGAAAGCGUGGGGAGCGAACAGGAUUAGAUACCCUGGUAGUCCACGCCGUAAACGAUGAGUGCUAGGUGUCGGGGAGGAAUCCUCGGUGCCGCAGCUAACGCAAUAAGCACUCCACCUGGGGAGUACGACCGCAAGGUUGAAACUCAAAGGAAUUGACGGGGGCCC
rnacentral:rRNA from 1 species